rnacentral:rRNA from 1 species
UACCAGGCGUCGAGCGGCGGACGGGUGAGUAAUACUUAGGAAUCUACCUAGUAGUGGGGGAUAGCUCGGGGAAACUCGAAUUAAUACCGCAUACGACCUACGGGAGAAAGGGGGCAGUUUACUGCUCUCGCUAUUAGAUGAGCCUAAGUCGGAUUAGCUAGAUGGUGGGGUAAAGGCCUACCAUGGCGACGAUCUGUAGCUGGUCUGAGAGGAUGAUCAGCCACACCGGGACUGAGACACGGCCCGGACUCCUACGGGAGGCAGCAGUGGGGAAUAUUGGACAAUGGGGGCAACCCUGAUCCAGCCAUGCCGCGUGUGUGAAGAAGGCCUUUUGGUUGUAAAGCACUUUAAGCAGUGAAGAAGACUCCGUGGUUAAUACCCACGGACGAUGACAUUAGCUGCAGAAUAAGCACCGGCUAACUCUGUGCCAGCAGCCGCGGUAAUACAGAGGGUGCAAGCGUUAAUCGGAAUUACUGGGCGUAAAGGGAGCGUAGGUGGCUCGAUAAGUCAGAUGUGAAAUCCCCGGGCUCAACCUGGGAACUGCAUCUGAUACUGUUGAGCUAGAGUAUGUGAGAGGAAGGUAGAAUUCCAGGUGUAGCGGUGAAAUGC